GAUGAACGCUAGCUACAGGCUUAACACAUGCAAGUCGAGGGGAAACGACAUCGAAAGCUUGCUUUUGAUGGGCGUCGACCGGCGCACGGGAGAGUAACGCGUAUCCAACCUGCCCACCACUUGGGGAUAACCUUGCGAAAGUAAGACUAAUACCCAAUGACGUCUCUAGAAGACAUCUGAAAGAGAUUAAAGAUUUAUCGGUGAUGGAUGGGGAUGCGUCUGAUUAGCUUGUUGGCGGUGUAACGGCCCACCAAGGCGACGAUCAGUAGGGGUUCUGAGAGGAAGGUCCCCCAGAGGGGAACUGGGACACGGUCCAAACUCCUACGGGAGGCAGCAGUGAGGAAUAUUGGUCAAUGGACGAGAGUCUGAACCAGCCAAGUAGCGUGCAGGAUGGCGGCCCUAUGGGUUGUAAACUGCUUUUAUAAGGGAAUAAAGUGAGUCUCGUGAGACUUUUUGCAUGUACCUUAUGAAUAAGGACCGGCUAAUUCCGUG
rnacentral:rRNA from 1 species